rnacentral:rRNA from 1 species
UACGUAGGUGGCAAGCGUUUGUCCGGAUUUAUUGGGUUUAAAGGGUGCGUAGGCGGCCCUGUAAGUCAGUGCUGAAAUACCCCGGCUUAACCGGGGGGUGGCAUUGAUACUGCAGGGCUUGAGUACAGAUGAGGUAGGCGGAAUUGACGGUGUAGCGGUGAAAUGCUUAGAUAUCGUCAAGAACACCUAUAGCGAAGGCAGCUUACUAGGCUGUAACUGACGCUGAGGCACGAAAGUGUGGGGAUCAAACAGG